rnacentral:lncRNA from 1 species
UACGUUGCCAGAACAUGGGCAGGAAAUUUUUGGUUUCAUUUUUGAGAGCAUGUGGGUUCUUUGCUCUGUGCCUGCAUCCAGCUUCAUCACCUGUCUCGCAAUGUUGCUGCCCAGGUUCAAGGUGUAAUCAAGUUAAGAUGAGGUCAUUCUGGAGCAGGCUGGGCCUUAACUCCAAUCACUGGUAUCCUUAUGAGAAGAGAUACAGAGACAGCCGGAGAGUGCACCUGGUGAUGAUGGCAGAGCCUGGAGUGAUGCAUCUACAAACAAAUGAAUGCCAGGAAAUGCAGGCAAGAACCAGACAAUUGGAGAGAGGCUGGGGCAGCUUCUCUCCCAAAGCCCUCACACAGGAACCACACCUGUUGACAUGGUUUGGAUCUGUGUCCCCACCCAAAUCUCAUGUCAAAUUGUAAUCCCCAGUGUUGGAGGAGGGGCCUGGCGGGAGGUAUCUGGAUCGUGGGGGUGGAUUUCCCCCUUGCUGUUCUCAUGAUAGUGAGUUAUCAUGAGAUCUGGUUGUUUAAAAGUGUGUGGCACCUCCCCACUUGCUCUCUACCUCCUGGUCCAGCCCUGGAAGAUGUGCCUGCUCCCUCUUCACCUUCUACCAUGAUUGUAAGUUUCCUGAGGCCUCCCCAGCCAUGCCUCCUAUACGGCCUGUGAAACCAUGAGCCAAUUUAAACC